AUUGAACGCUGGCGGCAGGUCUAACACAUGCAAGUCGAACGGUAGCACAGAAGAGCUUGCUCUUCGGGUGACGAGUGGCGGACGGGUGAGUAAUGUCUGGGGAUCUGCCCGAUGGAGGGGGAUAACUACUGGAAACGGUAGCUAAUACCGCAUAACGUCGCAAGACCAAAGUGGGGGACCUUCGGGCCUCACACCAUCGGAUGAACCCAGAUGAGAUUAGCUAGUAGGUGGGGUAACGGCUCACCUAGGCGACGAUCUCUAGCUGGUCUGAGAGGAUGACCAGCCACACUGGAACUGAGACACGGUCCAGACUCCUACGGGAGGCAGCAGUGGGGAAUAUUGCACAAUGGGCGCAAGCCUGAUGCAGCCAUGCCGCGUGUAUGAAGAAGGCCUUCGGGUUGUAAAGUACUUUCAGCGGGGAGGAAGGGAGAGAGGUUAAUAACCUUUUUCAUUGACGUUACCCGCAGAAGAAGCACCGGCUAACUCCGUGCCAGCCGCCGCGGUAACAC
rnacentral:rRNA from 1 species